rnacentral:rRNA from 1 species
UACGUAGGCAGCAAGCGUUGUUCGGAGUUACUGGGCGUAAAGGGUGUGUAGGCGGUUCUUUAAGUUUGGGGUGAAAUCUCCCGGCUCAACUGGGAGGGUGCGCCGAAUACUGAGGGACUAGAGUACGGGAGAGGAAAGUGGAAUUCCUGGUGUAGCGGUGAAAUGCGUAGAUAUCAGGAGGAACAUCGGUGGUGUAGACGGCUUUCUGGACCGUAACUGACGCUGAGACACGAAAGCGUGGGUAGCAAACAGG